GCCUUUCUCUGGACAUGCUCCAGCAUCUCAGUGUCCUUCUGAACUGAGGGGCCCAGAACUGAAUUCAGUAUUCGAGGUGCAGCAUCACCAAAGUGCAUGCAGGGAGACAAACAUUGCUCUCGUCCUGCUGGACACACUACUCCUGAUGCAAGCCAGGAUUCCACUGGCCUUCUUGGCCACCUCCACACUCUGCUGUGCCCACAUUCAGUUGACCACUGGUCCUUUUUCACUGGGCCACUUUGCAGCCACUCUGCCUUCAGCCUGUAGUGCUGCAUCGCUGUCAUAUCAUGCAUGUCACUGAGCGGACACAGCCCCCGAAGGGUGCAUGAGCUCUUCCAGCCGCCGGCGAGUCCCUAGCCCGGCUCAGGGUAGCACCCCCGGCGAUGUGCCUCGCCGGCAGCUACUGGUUCCGAAAAGCAGAAGUGCGAAGACACGGACGUGUCGGACAGACAAAUCACAGCGGGGCUCGCUGUUCCGAAAGCAGAAACGCCGUGUCCCGUAGCGAUUGCCUCACUGGGACAGAAAGUCCCUUAGGGGGGACACCGGACAAAGCCAAAGGUCGGGCCGGGUCAGAGAGGGCUGCGCGGCGCCGGCUGCUGGGGGACACCAGGCUGUGGCCCCCGGGCAGGCGGGAGACGCCUCGUGGCUCAGCACAGGUCGCUGGAAAACCCCCGGCGCCUUAAAAAUGUUUGAAUUAGUGCCACAAAGGGGAACUAUGUACCGUCUGUGUGUGUGUAAGUAUCUGAAGGGAGGGUGCCAAGAGGAUGGAGCCAGGCUCCUCUCGGUGGUGCCAAGCAAUAGGAUAAAAGGCCACGGCAGAAACUGAUGGUCAGGAAGUUCCACCUGGAUAUGAGGAAGAAUUUCUUUCUUGUGCGGGUGCCCGUGCAAUGGAACAGAUUGUCCAGAGAGGUUGUGGAUUUUUCUUCACUGGAGACAUUCAAGAACCAUUUGGACGUAAUUCUGUGCGAUGUGUUCUAGGAUGGCCCUUCUUGAGCAGGGGGGCUGGAUCAGACGAUCCCUUCCAAUCUUCCCCAUUGUGUGAGAGGUUACAAUGGCUCCCCGCACUCCGGUGACAGUCCUGCCCUCGGCCCGCCGCCUCCUCCUCUUCCGCGGGUUCCUGUCCUGAACCUUAACUCCUGGCACACCCUUUCCCUGCCGCAGCCUUUCCCCCACCCUCAACACGGCUCUCACGGACUGGGAGGUUUCCGUGGAAACUUUUGUAUCUGCUCUCUCCCACGCCUGAGGAGCCUCUGCCCUGCAGCGCGCCCCAGCCGCUCCCCUCGGCUCCCCUGCCCGGCCACCACCGGCCCCCGCUGCCCCGACCCCCUCAGAGGGCCCGACACCAGGCGCCUACACGGGCAGGGGCUGGGCGUGUCAACUGUGGUGUGACUGACAGCUGAAGGACAGGAUGCCACGGAGAGGGGUGGCAUGGACCUAGACAAGCUCGAGGAGUGGACACAUGGAAAUCUCAUCAAGUUUAACAAGACCCAGUGGUCGGGUCAAACCCCAAUAUCAAUAUAGACCGGUGUCUGAACAGAUGGAGAGCAGCCCUGCCAAGAAGCACUUGGAGGUGCUGGUAGAUGAGAGGCAGGACAUGAGCCAGCAAUUGCUGGAAGUCCUCUGGCUCACAUGCUCCCCCAAGUCCUGGUAGAAAAGCUGGUGUCCUGAAUACUGUGGGAUUGUGUGAUGCCUUGGAAGCACAGCAGAUGGGACAGCAUGGAUCAAGCAGCUGAGCCCUGGAAGCAGUGGAAGAGGUGUAAAUGAUGACAUGUUUGCUGCUUGAGAGGUGAGGAGUGUGGGCAAGGAGAGGAACAAUCUCCUGAAACUAGAGACUGGAGAGCUUAGAUCCAGUGACUGAUGAAGUAGGCGUCUUAAUUCUACACCUGGUCAUCCUGAACCUUGCUGGAUGGUCUUGACAAUAGAUCUCCCUACACCUCCCUCUCCUCUUUCCUCCAUGCUCUUUUUCAUGCACAUCCACGUUCUAUAACCUUCACGUUCUUUUGUAUAGACUCUAGUUCUGCUGAAAAAUUCAAAUUUUCCUGUACAUGGAGAAGCCUUGAGUCAGCUCCAGGAACAGGCUACUUGAAAUUUUCCAAUCUAUUAAGCAGAUGACAUCAGGUUGUAUGUUCACUUCAAAUACGUGAGAAAGAAAAACUCCAAAUAAAGGAAAAACUAGUCUAAAGAUACACCUGUAGUAAAUGAAAUUUUCACAUUCAGAAUGGAUGGCAUCAUGAUGUGUAUUUGGCAUCAAACACUAUCCUGUAUGCCAUGGCACAGCCAUACUUUCUGUGGCCACUACAGCUGCGCCUCUACCUCUGUCCCCACAGAGGAGAAAGACUGACAUUCUGCAGCUCCAUCCAUGGUGAGAGGCUGAAGAGAAAAGGCUGCAGCACAUGCUCCUUCCCUCAGCACUGCUCUCCCCCUUCAUGAGCAAACUGCUGAAGAAAAUGGGAGUUGGCUCAUCUCUGAGGUUAUUGAGAGGUUAUGGAAUCUAGAAGGAAGAAGUCCUUCUUCAAACACACUGCCUGACCCUAUCAUCCAAAUCACUAAAUAUUGCUGUGUUAACUGGUGGUGCUGUGAAAUCUUUUUAUAAGUUAGUGAAAGAUCUGUGUUACCACCCAACAGUAAAGGUAGUAAAGCCUUCCUCAGCCUAUAAUAAAGCAUACAUAAACAUUCUGUAAGCAACAGCUACAAUAAUGCACUUGAUAUUCCAUCAUAAUUGUAGUCUGCAAAAAUGAUUUAACUGGUAAAUUUGUCAGCAUUUAUACCCUGUUUUCUACUUCUGAUGUUUCUUUCCACACUCCAAAACACUCAGAGGAAAGCCACCACUGCUAAGUUUAGACUUUUCUGUCUCUUCUUACUGUGAAAACUCUCAGGGCCAGCUAUUUUCGACUUUUUCUCCUACAAGCUGUUUCUAUUUCCCAACUUAAGAUCACUAGUUUAAAGAUAGCACUGAUGUAAUUGUACCAUCUGAGAUCAACCUUCAUAUUCAUCUGUUAUGAAGCCAUCAGUAUUCCCUUCCUAGCUGACAGUUAUGUUGCUUGUCAACUUGUCAUUCCAAUUUUCCCUUAUAUUUCUUUGCACAUUCAUAUGACUCAGAAUAGUUUCCCAUCCAUAAGCCACUUAUAUAUAACAUCACUUCUGUUUCUCCUUAACUCAACUCCUUAUGUCCUGCCACAGCCAUAUUUGAUCACGACUAACUGCUUUUCUUGACUGUCAUUUUGAAUAAUUAUUAUUUUGCUUACUUUGUCUUCCUGUACUCUUUUUUACAUUAUGUGGUAAAACAUAAUUUUAUAGAUUUGGAGCUUAUCUUAUUUCUUUGCAUCUAAUAGUCUUUUUUUUUUUUUUUUAAUAAAAGAGUAAGUUUUAAAUCCAGUUUUGGACAUUCUAUUGAGUUCCUAGCAAAAUAAAUAUCAGGUUGUGAGUGGAACUCUGCAGCAGCACCAAAGCAGGGUUACACAUAAAGGUUCACUGUUCUGCUUUACAUGCCUGUUUUAUUCUCAGGGUAUUCACAUAAAGGCUUGGGGACUUUACCCUCUUUUUUGCUCACAAAAUAAUAUUUUGCUUUUAAUUUCUUGCCAUGAUUAGCAAAUCGUGCCUUGGAAGGGAUCCUGUUAAUUUGUCUUACUCUUUGUGACAGUGAUUCCUGGUAUUUUUUUCCCUGAACAGGAAUUCAACCCACAUCUUUCACACACUGCUAUGAUUAUGUGUGCUUUCCUCUGAAACAUUCACCUUUAGAUUUCCAGUUUGCAUGACACUUUUGUUACACAUAAAAGACCACUUGCUAACAUUUUCAAACCCUUUCUGAGUCUUAAGCCUCAUAUUCUCAAAAUUAAGCAACCUCCUAAAUGACUGGGUUGAACAGACUUUUUUCCCCAAAACUAAUUGCUCAAUAACACCACUCCGUAUUUCUACAUAGCCUUAAUCCAGGAUAUAUAAUAAUAGAGAUCAUUUUACUCUCUGAAAUAUUAUUAAUUAUUGUGAAUCCAGUUUUUAAGUUAAGGAAAACAUGGUACAAAAAAAAAAAGUGUGGAUUUCACAGGAUCAGGCAGAUCUUCCUUGCCAAAAAUAAUAUUUUUAAAAGGUUGUCAGGAAUAGAACCUUUAACUCUGCUGAAAGCUGUUUGCUGUUGGCAUGAUAGUCCAUGAUUGCCUGUAACAGACCAGCUUCUAGCGCAGACAUGACUGAAGCAUGUAACAGUUGUAGAAGAACAUUUUAACAAGGCUUCCUCACCCUCUAUCCCAUGCUGAUAUAAACAUCCUUAAUAAGUACAGUUCAUUAUUUACUUUCUUUUUGGUAGGCCUUUGCAUUUUAUAAAAAUCUCUCUCUACAGGCAAAAGCAUCUUUUACCUGAAGAAGGUAGUCAAGAAGUAGAAAAGGAAAGUACUAACUGUAUAUUUUUUUAAAAAUUCAAAGCAAUGCCAGUUAUAGUCAUUUUGAAUGAGAAUAUCUCUACCAAUGCUAAUACGCUUACACUGGACUUCCAGCAGAAAUAAAUUGAGUUAUGGGGUUUUAUGCAGUCAAAUUGAGAAAAAAAUUGGCCUACUGUGUCAAAAGUGAAAAACUAACCUUAUUAUAGAUGUUUUUACUUCUUCUUCUGUGCUGUGGUUCAAUUUAAUUUAAUCAAGAUAUAAUACUGAAUUAAAAUGUUAAAAAAUAUAAUCAGGAUUGUCAUAGUUGUGUCAUCUUCUGCACAUCAUUAUGCAAAUAGUAAUGUUAAAAUACAGCUGUCUUUUCCACUCCUGCACACCAUCAGCACAAGCAGAAUGUUUUUCCAUACUAUUCAGCUGUGAGAGGAAGUCUCCAAGGUUUGCCAGUAGCUGAAUCCUAAUUCAUGGCCCAGUUAACUGGAAACUGCAAACUUCCUGUGGUUUCCGUGAGUUCCAGCAUGCUUCCCGUUAUCUUGCUAUGUGGCACGGAGUGUUCUGGUUACCAUCAGCAGCAGAUGCUUGUGCCCCCCUGACCUGGCCAUGGUGGCUGCCAGCCACUGCGGUGCAGUGGAGAUUGUCCCUUUGUGCACCAACUGUACACGCCUCUGGAUACUCUGGAAAUGCAGCAGAGUGCUGCUUCAGCUUUUCAGCACUGUGUCUUGCUUUCUGGACUUGUUACACCAUUCAAAGGGGAAUGUCUCACUAGGCAGUAGUCUUGAAUUUGUUAUUAAUUUCACCUAGAUUAAGACAAAAAGAAAUUGAAGCAUUUGUUCAUAAAAAAAGUUUAUAUUUGACCUAUGUGAGGAACCAAAAGUAAUGUGCCCACAUAUUGUUCAUACUAUCUCCAUCUGAUUUACCAUACUACCCCAGAUGUCAAGACUCCUGUGGUCCAAGGUAACUUGUGUUCGUGUUAUAUCAUCGUAAAAUCCCUCUUUUGAUGUAGCAUGCUAUCUGUUAUAGCCAAUUUUUUGGUAACAUUUGAAAUCUUCCUGAAGAGGUUCAGAGAUAUUUGACCUUAUUCAACAGAUAUUGUUUUAAUGCAAGAGAUACUCUGGCCAUUUGAAAGAAUUUAAACAAGUGUUGUUUCAUUUCCCAGAAAAUGUGAAUGCCUCUUCAUUAGACUGGAUGCCUUCCAUCCUAAUUGGCUGUUUAUUUAAUGACUGCUUCCCUUAAGAAAGGCUGUAUCUUGUCCUCUCAUCCCUUUGCUAAUUCUAAUGUUUCACUAUAAAGUGUUUCCUCUAUUGAACCUUCAUUCUGUGUCAGUCUUUCUACUCGCAGAAAACACCCGAUACAAUUGUCUUCAUGAGGUAAAUGUAUUUAUCUCAUUCCUGGGUACUGACUGAAACCAGACACCACAGUAAACUAAGAUUCUGGGAUGACAAUCAACCACAUUUCCUGGAUUUUUUUAAGUAAGUGAUGAUUUUGGACCCAGUUUCUAAAUAAAUCUAAAGUGACAUAACUUGCUUUGAAUCUAGCGAUUGAGGUCAGGGGCUUGCUGUAUUUAAAAAUGGACAAAUAUCUGUGUAUAUGUAUACGUAUUAAAAAAUAUAUAUAAUU